AUUCAAGGUGUCACAUACUUCCUAGAGAGGAUGUGAGAUCAAUAUUCAAGGUGUCACACUCGUCCUAGGGAGGAUGUGAGGUCAAUAUUCAAGGUGUCACACACUUCCUAGAGAGGAUGUGAGGUCAAUCGUUAAGGCCUGGGAAAAAUGCUCAUGAGGUCACUUUUGGGCUUUUGUUUUCAAUGUUAAAAAUCGGAUGGGCCUUCCUGUGUAAAAUUAGAUGAAAAUGGGAGGACUCACUUUCAGAUUGGAAGGGCCCAGCCGCCCAGAUAUGUCAGCCCCCUCCUGGAUUAUCCUUUCUUGUUGCUGAAUUUUACUAUUACAAUAUUCCAUUGUUUUCAAUAUGACUUAUAUUGUUGUGAAUAAUUGACAACUUUUUUUUCAGUCUAUGCCCUUCAUGGCCAACAAGGAAAAGACUGUGAACAAAUUUUCCUUCACAGUUUCUUAUCUGAUUUUCAUAAUUACUGGUAUGACAUGGCCAAUCACAGCUGUAAGGCAUCAGUGUAUUAGGAUUGGUGAUACCAUGGAAACUGCAGACUAGGAUCCAAGGCUUUUAGGAGCAAAACUGAAAAAUAGUGUCCACAACUGAUUGUCGACCAAAGACCAGAUUUUUUCUUUAAGAUAUGUGGGAUUCAUGUUUCUUGGUUUAUGUUGUGAACUAUUUGAGCUGUGAAUAAACAAUUUGUUGGUGAUUUUA